UUGAUGGCCGGCAAUAAACGCAUCCUUAUCUUUUUUCUCCCUCCUCCUGCUGACACAGCCGCGACCGAUAAUUAGCAGGGGAAACAGUUGUCUUUGGGCUGUUGCCCGGGAAUGUGAUCUAUGGUGCGGAAUUAGUAACGCUUUAAAGCGGAAUCUCUCGGCGGCUCGCCGUCCAGCAUCGCUGUAAGCCUUGGCAUUUAGUUGAUAUUCUGCCUGCCAAAGUGCCCGGGCUUCCAGUUUAACCUUGCGCCCCUUUCAGGAGGAGGAGACCGGGAGAUGGCGAACGCAGGCAGUUCGCAGCACGCGAACUGCCCUUGGCCCCGGAACGACGCUCACCUCGUAGUUUGUCCCGACAGUCACUCCUGUGGCAUCUCCUAAGGCGGGACGCGCGUGUUUACUCCAGCUCACUGAGAAACGACAAGCGCUGAGUUCCUCGCAGUGCAGGGGGAGAAGUGCGAGAAUUCUGUACAGUUGCAGUGAUAGAUUGCUGUGAUCCACUGCUACGGAUUUGGGACUACAUGUCACGCUUGUGCCUCUCUACCUGUGGUUAUCCGAGGGGUCUUUGAUAAGGACAAGCCCCCCUCCCAAGGACGAGGCGACCUUACAACUAGCACUGGUAAAAUUGGGAGCCUAAACUUGGGUUACCUUGUGUUUGAUUUAUAGGAUGAACGAUUCUCUUAAUGGCAUGAUUGUUCUUUGUCACUGUAUUUAACACCUAUUUAACAUCAUGCAGUGUUCCACUACAAUGAGAUUGUGGGGUGCAACCCCAUACAA